UCUCUUGUAGUAGGAUUAGGCUUUCCCAUAUUUUUAAUUUAUUGUUGAAGUGUUCGUGUUGAAGAUGCUCCAAAAGGCUUCCAUAACUAAAUGGAACUCAAACUCCCUUUCUUAGUAGGAUUCCAAAGAGGAAUCGGUUUAGGCUUGGGAUUUCUUCUCUCUUGAUAUUUCCUUUGCCUUCUAGGAAUCGCCUUCAAUAAACUAUAAUUUACGAAGAACAAAAUUUGAAGUAGGAAUCCUCAAAAGUAUCUCUCGAUUUUCCUCCUCUCUUUGCUGCAAAUCCUACCUCAAGUAGGACUUAAAUUCCAAUGCCAACAAGGUCUCUUCUUCCUCCAAGCUUGUGGGUUGAAGCCAAUUUCUCAAGGGAGAAGGUUUCCCUUGUGGGAAGGACUGCUUCCCUCUCUCAAUUCUC
rnacentral:lncRNA from 1 species